UACGUAGGGUGCAAGCGUUAAUCGGAAUUACUGGGCGUAAAGCGUGCGCAGGCGGCCUGUUAAGUCAGAUGUGAAAUCCCCGAGCUCAACUUGGGAACUGCAUUUGAAACUGAUAGGCUAGAGUGUGUCAGAGGGAGGUAGAAUUCCACGUGUAGCAGUGAAAUGCGUAGAGAUGUGGAGGAAUACCAGUGGCGAAGGCGGCCUCCUGGGAUAACACUGACGCUCAUGUACGAAAGCGUGGGGAGCAAACAGG
rnacentral:rRNA from 1 species